CUCAUCACUCACUCUGGGGAAGCCAGCUGCCAUACCAUAAGGACGCUCAAGCAGCCAGUGGAAUGCAGAAGCCAGAGGAGGAAGAAUUCAGCCAGGCCAGCUGCCAGCCACUACGGGAGUAACCUUGGAAGCGAGGUUUUUCUGAGGCCACCUAACAGCCAGUGAGUGACCUUAGAAACAGAUCAUUACCUGGUCAGACCUGGAGAAGGCCGCAUCCCUGACCGACGGCUAGACUUCGACUUCGAGACCCCAAGCCAGAAGCACCCAGCUAAGCAGCUUCCAGAUUCCUCAGAAACUCUCUGGCAGUCAGAAAUCUGAACAUGGGUCUUGCAGGCUAAAAUUAAGGUGCUUUUUUUUUUUUUUCUAAAGGAUCUACAGGAGAAUCAGGUCCUUGCCUUUCCCAGCGUCCAGGGAAAACCUGCUUCCCUGGGCUCCUGUCUCUUCUGGCCGCGACAUCACUCCAGCCUCGGCUUCUUCGUUUCCUCUCCUCAUCUGACUCCGCCUCUCCUGCCUUGCCCUCAUAAGGGUCCUCAGAAUUACACAAGGCCCUCCUGGAUGGUCUUUUCAAUAAGUGAUGGUGGAAGAACUGGACAUUUACCUGAA